GACCCGAUGGCCAAUGGUAUGGCGCUCGGACCGCAAGAUAAGCUGGGGUGAAUGACGCAAACAGGAGAUCCUGGUUCGAUUCCAGGUUGGGUCA